GGCACUAUAUUAUCUAUUGCAACGGUUCUGUUUUUAAUAAAUCAUUGUUGCAAACACAAUAGACCAUAUCAAAUGACAUUGCACUCACAUAUAUUAAUUUAUACUCAAUCAUUAUCCAAUAGUCCGACAAAUGAUUCAAAUAGUAGUUAAAAUGACAAAUGAAGUUCUCUCAUUAUUCCAAAAAUUUUAAAAAUUUUCAACUAGACUAGACUUCCUAACAUCUAUGCAGCCCGUGAGAUGAGUUUUCUUUCAGCGCCACAUGUCAUCAUCUCACCAAUGUUGUUGCUUGACGAGCCUCCCUCUGAAAUCUUGUAUACCUACUGCCAAAAGAGUAAGAUUAAGAUAUUAGAAAACCUCUAUGUUUAGUACUUCAUGCCCAAAAUAUAAAUUCAGAACUUAGGAAAUUAUAUAUGCAUGUGAGACAAGAAAAAAUUAAGAAUAUGCUCAAGUACAGCUCUAGACCAAAUGUGUAGUGGACUAUAAAAUUAUAAUUACUUGUCUAGACAAUGGAAAUUACAAAAACUACCACAUUCUGCAUAUAUUUCCCAUGAGGUGGCAAUGAUUUUCUGUAGACAAAGAAAAUCAUAAUUACUCCACCGACAAAAAUAAUUAUGUGGUUACUAACAAUAUUCCCUAUUGAUUUUUGAAAAUCCAGAAUUGGUUGUUCAGUUGUUCUGGGUUAUUACUGUUGUGUAGCACAAAGUACAGAAAGAAAGUAGAUCAGUUCUCCCUGAAUCUUGUAGCUUCUUUCAGUUAACUCUAACAGGAAACUAUUAAAAAAAAGAACAGCUACCCCUACUUCCUACAUCUUCUGCUUCCUUUUCCACAUCCUCUGCAAAAGAAACCUGGCCAGCAACCACCCUGGUUAAAAAAGUUAGGUGAUUCAAAUUGAUCUCCAGUAGUUUGUAUGUUGCAUAUUUACACUGAUUUUUUACACAUGAUUAGUUUUCAGAUGUUUGUUUUGAUUAAAAAAGAAAUCACUCUGUAGCCAUUCUAAUACAAAGAUAGCAAGAUAGUGAAAACAGGACGUGACAGAGCCAAAACGAUCACCUAAUGUAUGUGAAAGGUGCAACUUUUAUUCAUAACAAUUCUUGUGGAGGUCAGCUUCACAAUUGCAUCUUAAACCUAAGCCAUUAACUGCUAGUAAUAUAAAUUUUACAAUGUAGUAGUACUCAAUCAUUUAAGCACUUCAUAUGAGACAAAAAGAUUAGCAAACUAGAAAGAAUCUGCACACUGACUGUACGACCUGGAAGUGCUUUCUGAUGUGGAGUUCACCAAAUCCCAUUUUCCUGUAUGAGCAUUGAGAUUGCCUUUCCCGUGAACGACAUAAACCAAGACAUCUACAACUAUAAGAUAGAAUGACAUACUAGCAGGGCAGGUUACCAGCAGUCUAGCAGUUAAUAAAUGCAACGACUAUCUAUUACUAGCAGUCUUUCAUAUGAGAAAGAAUAUGUUUUGCAAGAGCUACAUAAAUUAACUUAGAAUUCAAUCCCAAAUUAGUAAGAUCUGGAGAAUAAAGAUGCCUAAUAACAUGAGCUUCAUAUUCAUUCACGAAUCUUCACAUUUACAGAACAUAGAUAGCUAAUAUAAUCUUAACAUACCUAAUUUAAUCUUAACAUAGGCUCACCUUGUGCCAUGUAGCGAAGGUGACCCACCUCAUUGGAUCCAGAUCAUUUGUUAAUGUGUCAGUUAUUAAAGGCAAUAUUUUCCUUUUCUUGUGGGAGUGUGUGGUGUGUGUUUUAUACACGGUUUUUGCACUUUUUUCAACUUAUAUGUGUUCCACACAAAAAUGGGAUAAUAACAGAUUAAAUGAAAACAGUUAAACAACAGCAGUUAAAGCCGAGACUCAUCUCCACAAAUUGCCGCUAUGCAAGAUAACUUGCUAAACCUGACAGAUCAUAAGCCAAUCCUCUGUCAGGAACCCAGGACAACACCUUCUAACCCAAAAUACAUUAGACAGAGGAUUAAAAAUCCGAGGAGGCACUCACAUCGACGAUGGCACCCGCUGCCUGGGUUAGCACCGGAGAGAUGUCCAGCAGAUCACGCCUGCACAGCAGAAGAAAAACAGAAAAGUUAAGGAAUGGAGAAGUAAGGACCGAUUGAGAUAGGGUCUAGGGCAACUACAGAUGGAGAUUAUGGGGCGCCUCCUGCGGGAGCGAGACGGAUUGAAGGUAGUCCUCCAGGUUCGGGCGGUCUAGCUCCAUGUCCGCCGCCACAGACGAGCUCGCCAUCGCCUCCGGCCUCUGGCCGCCGGCCGCACGCCCGCCGCCGGUGAGAUGGCGUUGACGCAGAGGAAAAGCUAUGCGAUGGGGAGAGGCUCACCACGUGGAUGGGCGUAACGACCCGCGCGAAGCCGCCUGCCGGAUGCUCUUGCCGCCGGCCACCGCCUCGAGCAGAAGCGCCGUGCCACUAGUGCGUGAAUGAGAUUGGACACUAGGAAGACAAGCUAGGGUUUGGUGUUUUUAUAUGCAGAAGGUGGAUGUCAGAUCAUUUCAUCCAUCAGAUCGAGAAUCAACGGUUAUAACAUCAUGUGCCGGUGGGCUGUUGGGCUGAAUUUAGGUUUUAUUUUUCCUGUUCUUUAGCUAGCUAACAUAUAUUUAAUUCUUGCUUAAAAUACAUCUAAUAUAAAUGCAAAUCAUAGUACAAUAUUUUUUGUCGCAGUCUCUAUGCGUCCAAAAACAAUUUUAAUUAACAUAAACUAGACUACACGUCAUAUCAAAUGAAUUAAACAAGCACAAAUGUUUUAUUUAACCUCAAAUCUUAAAAAUCAGUUAAAAAUAAAAUGUUUUGUUAGUGGGAUUACUCGAACGUAAAUUUGCAUUUGACCUCACAUCCUGAAACUAGACUAUAUGUUAUAUCAAAUAAAGUAACUUUGAAAGCUUAAGACAUCAGAAAUAGACAAGUCAUGUGGAGACAUAUCGUUAUAGUUAAGAGUUCUUCAAAAUGGUGCACGGCCUUUGUGAAGCAUGUAUAAUAAGCCAAUGUCGAAAUUACUUGAAUCUUUUUCUGCAUGCAUGAAGGCACAAAUCAUGACCCCACACCAAAUAUUAGAAUUUUCUGAUCAAAUUAGAGAAUUACUGAAUUUAUUUAUCGCUAAAACUAAGAAAGGAGGGCAAGUUAAACCUUGAAAAUAAGAUAUUUUGACAUCCUCCUCAUCAAAAAUGGUUUCUUGUAGCAUGUGAGACCUAGUAUAGAAUUUUGGGACCAUUUUGCAUAAUUUGUGAGGUAGCCUUAGUUCACCUAUAAUUACGACAUUCAACCGCAUAGAAAUUCAUUUAAAUGAAAUAAAAUAGAAAAACACUUAAAAAAACCUAAAACUUAGCUAUUUCUCAUAUCGUGGCACGCAUAAGCUUGAGAAAAAAUUUGAGCAUCUUACAACAUUGAAAUGGAUGAGUCACAUGGUGACCCAUAAGUUGUAGUCAAGGUUCUUCGAAAUGGUGCAUAGACUUUGUGAAGCAUGUACAAUACGCCGGUGUCAAAAUGACCUAAAACUUUUUUUUAUGUGCAUGAAGGCCCAAAGCAUGCCCUCAAGUGAAAUCUUAGAUUUUUCUGAUCAAAUUAGAUAAUUACUGAAUUUAUUUAGUUCAGCCUACAAUUACGAUGUCCAACUAUGUAGAAAUUCAUUUAAAUGAAAUAAAAUAGCAAAGCACUUUCAAAAAAUCUGAAACUUAGCAUUUUCUCAUAUUGUGGCAUGCACAAGCUUGAGAAAAAGUUUAAGCAGCUUAGGACAUUGAAAUGGAUGAACACGUAGUUACUGUUUUCUUAUACUUUAAUUGAAUUACUCAAUUGCCAGAAAAUAUAUAAAAAUACCAAUGUACUCAACCAAGACAAAGACGGAGCUCAGUGGUCGUUGCUGCUCCUCGUGGGAUAACCGUCUGAGGUUCGAAGCCCCUCCUGCCGGCCUGGUAUGUGUGCGUGUUUUUUAUGUUUUCUUUUUGUUAAUUAUUAAAUCAUUAUUAAAAAACAAAUUAUUAUGUGUAUAUAUAUAUACAUAAGCAAAGAUUUACACAUAUAUAUAGAUAUACACAAAUAUUUUGACACUAAUUGAGUUUCCACACUAAAAAUAAAGAAAUGUGUACACAUAUAAAUGUAUUAAUAUUUAAUUAUUAUUUCAACAUUUAUUUAUUGUAAAGAAAUGUGUACAUAUAUUAUUACAACAUUUAUUUAUUGUUCUUCAUAUCGUAUAGGUGUACACUUUUAUUUACUAUUUGAAAGAAUUAAAAAUAAAUAUUAUUUACAUAUUUUAUAUACAUCUUGGUUUAU
rnacentral:lncRNA from 1 species